rnacentral:rRNA from 1 species
UGAGGAAUAUUGGUCAAUGGACGCAAGUCUGAACCAGCCAAGUAGCGUGCAGGAUGACGGCCCUAUGGGUUGUAAACUGCUUUUAUGUGGGAAUAAAUUGGCGCACGUGUGCGCCAUUGCAUGUACCUCAUGAAUAAGGACCGGCUAAUUCCGUGCCAGCAGCCGCGGUAAUACGGAAGGUCCGGGCGUUAUCCGGAUUUAUUGGGUUUAAAGGGAGUGUAGGCGGUCUGUUAAGCGUGUUGUGAAAUUUAGGUGCUCAACAUUUAACUUGCAGCGCGAACUGUCAGACUUGAGUACACGCAGCGCAGGCGGAAUUCAUGGUGUAGCGGUGAAAUGCUUAGAUAUCAUGAGGAACUCCGAUCGCGAAGGCAGCCUGCGGGAGUGUUACUAACGCUUAAGCUCGAAGGUGCGGGUAUCGAACAGGAUUAGAUACCCUGGUAGUCCGCACAGUAAACGAUGGAUGCCCGCCGUUGGCGCCCUGCGCCUGCGGCCAAGCGAAAGCAUUAAGCAUCCCACCUGGGGAGUACGCCGGCAACGGUG